GUGUUGACAGGGGACCAAAUGUCCCAGAUUGAUGACAUCACGCUCCCAGCGAUCGAUUUUGGUCUACAAGGCUAUACGGGUACCCCCUCUGCGUCUAGGCCUCGUCCUAAGAAAAAGAAUUCCUCGAAGACGCCAAAACGUGAGAAGAAAGUAAUUGAACACAUUUUUAGUUGUACAAUUGUUUGAAAAUGUUGAAAUCAAGUCAUAGUUGGGGUUUGUAGAUUGAUUAGUGUUAUUUGUCUAUUUUAUAUGUACAACGACCAUUGAGCUAUGUGGAUUUGUUGAAUGCACCUAAUUCGCUCGUGGAUAAAGAGAGGGCAGAUGUAAUAGCGAUAGUUUUUCCAUCGAUGGUGAGCCAUCCUCAGUCCAUUGGAGAAGCAUCUCAGGCAUUAACCCCUUCGCAGUUCAGCCAUAACGUGGAUCCUUUUAAGUUUGUCUUCAAUAAAACUUCUAAGAGUGACAAGGAGAGGAGAGCAAAGACAUUAACUCCGAGAUCAACCGAUGAGAGCCGCAUACUGCAUCGAAGAGGCUCGAUUUUGAUGAUCCACCACAAGUUUAAGAUCAUAUAGUGUUAGUUGUGGUCAUAGAACAUGUAGAUAUAUUCUACAUUUUUAUUGUAUAUCGAU